UAUUUCUGAGGAUGAGCCCAUGGAGAGUGCGCUCCCUCCAUGCGGGCUCCCAGGAGAAGUCAACAACGCGUGGGGUGGUUCCCGAUGAAGAAGGGCCAAGUUCCCAGGGAGGCCCCCAGCCACCCCUCCCUCAAGGAAAACAUCAAGGACCUCUUUACACACCUGCUCUUCCUUCUUUGGGCCCGGGACAAAUCCUGUCUCUGAGAUGGCUAUGUCACUGCUGAUCCCAUCUUAUGAGGUGAAAAAACUGAGGAUGAGGAGAAUUUAAAGUGACUUGCCCAAGGUCACCCAGCAGGGUUCAACAGUGCAAAGAUGGCUUUGAAGAGAGGCCCGCCUUGGCAAACUGAGCGUGUGGCACCGUGGAAAGAUCCCAUGCUUGGAAGACUAUGGAAAUGAUGUUAGGCAAAAAGCAAAUUCCAGCGAUUUUCUUGUACGAGUUCAAAAAGAGUCGCAAAGCAACUGAGGCAACAUCAACAACACAUUUGGCCCAGGAACUGCUAACAAACGUACAGCGCAGUGGUAGUUCAAGAAGGUUUGCAAAGGAGACCAGAGCCUUGAAGAUGAGGAGCACAGGGGCCAGUCAUCGGAAGUUGACAACAACCAACUGAGAGCAAUCAUUAGAGCUGAUCCUCUUACAACUACAUGACAAGUUACCAAAGAACUCAAGGUGGACCAUUCUAUCGUCUUGCAGCAUUUGAAUCAGAUUGGAAAGGUGUAAAAGCGCAGUGAGUGGGUGCCUCAU